AAAUGAAUUAACCCGAGACUGUAUUGGUAGAGAAAAAAACAGCUCUGCUUCUGUAAAAUUUCUGCAUGAUUUGGUCAAGAAACAAACUUCAGAAUGAGGACUUUUCAUCGGAUCCCCUUUUGAAGAACAGUCUCUUUUUUUUUUCUCAGACAUGAGAUGUAAACUUUGUUUGAAUGUGGAAUUAUUAUUUUUUUAAAGUCCUAUUUCUAAACUUUUCAAUAUUAUUCCCCUGCGUUCACAAAUCAUCCCUCAGUUUAACUGCUGCACUGUUCACACUGGGAAUUCUCUUUUUAUCCAAUUAUCCACACUGUUUGUGUAUAAUCAGUUUAAUCUGUGCCUUGUUUGCAAUGUUUUUGACAAUCUGUAUUAUCUGCAUUGGUUGCGUUAGGGAUGAUAUAGACUUAUCUUGACUUAGAAUUGUCAUUCAGAAGCUUACUGAUACACGCCAGUUUCCUUUUUGGCCCUGUGAUGACAUUGGUGUCCACUAGAAAGAGAAACAAACAAAAUAAGUGUAUUGAUGCGGUCACUUCUGGCGUGUUCCGCUCGGUCACAGUGAUAAUACUAAUCGAAUGUGUGAACAGCCAAAGAUCAGUAUGAGUUACAUGAGAUAUGGUUUUAAAUUAUAUUGAGUCUCAUAACUGUUUGUUAACACAGCUGUUAACUACAUGUAACAAAUGUUGAUACAAGACACAGCGAUCACUUCAAGCUGUUGAUACAGAUUUGGGUGCAAAUCCAUUCUUGUCAGAAGUAGUGCAAGCAUGCGUUUCAGAAACUGUUUCUGAUGUGGACACGAAGCAUCCAGUGUGGACAGUAUCAUUUAUAAAGAUUUAUUAUUAAAUUUUUUUGCUUUUUUUAUCUGACAUGUGCCCAGUGUAGGUGGUGUAUCUGUAUUGCAAAGGUUAGAUUUUAUUUACACUGGGUGUAAAUAGGUGUAUAUAUUGUUUGUACCAAGUAGAAAUAGCAACAGACUGCACUUAGUGCAGACAAUAAUGGUGAUCACACAAAGUGUGAUUAGUAUUUAUUUGGUGAAUUAGGCUUUGGUUGGUUGAGUUGGUAAAAAUAGUUUGUGUUUGCACCCAGUGUAAAUAGACAGUGCCGUAAUGAAUAUUAGAUGGAAUAAAUUGAUUGGGGAAAAGCUGAUUUACUGAGAAAUAAAACAAUCAAAUAAAAAAAAUAUGUUCAGAAUAGUUAUUUUCUAGACUGUUAACUACUAAAUGAGCAAAGUGUGUAAUUUAUAUUUGCAGCAAUGUGAAAUCUGAAAAAUAAUGGCAUACAGUGCAAGAUUUAUAGUUUUGAACACAUUCUUACUUUCAUUUCCAGACAAUUACAAUUCAUUUAGUUACUUUGAUAAAUGUUUUCUGUGUCAGCUGUGUUGGCCUUGAAUGCUAUUCAGAUGUGUUCUGAAUAUCAAAUUUGUCGCAAGAAUUUGAGAGAAUUUUUAAGCUGGUUAUGAAUUACAAAAUUACAAUUUAAAGAAAAACAUAAAAUAUCAUUUUAUUUUAGGUCAAUUGUCGUAGUUUGUGCAAAUGUGCAAUUACUGUGUUAAUUACGAAAUAUUCAGGUUUUAGUUUUUUAUCCAAAUGUAAAACUUUUUUUUUGUUUUGUUUUUUUGCUUUUAUAUUUCCAUGCUUCAGUGUCUAUAGUGUGUUGUGUAUAUCAUUCUGGAAUUUAAAACGCAUACAAAGCCAUGUCUCUGGAACAUUAAUACAUUUCCCCAUUUCAAGGCCUCAGCUUCUUUGAGCCAAAUGAGAAACUACCACAAUCCUUGGACUUUUAUCUUCAUGUUAAGGGUGCAGUUUUGAUUCUCUCAUAGUUGACUAAUGACAUGGUUUCAUUUGAUUUUGCUUAUUAUAUUCUUGUAUUAUAUUAUCACUGCUUUAUGUAAACAUUUUUCUAUCACUACUUUAUAUCUAAUGUUAUUUACAAUAUAAAGUGUAAAAGAUUGCGAUUUCUUUUUAUUACAAUUAUUAUUUCUUUUUUUUUAAAAUGCUGGUUAGUUUUGAGGCCUACAAUGUAUCUCUUUCUCUGGGGUCACUUCCAACCUUUUAUUAGCAGAAUCUAAAUGUGCCCCAAUAACUGAUCACAUUGACCCUGAGGAGCUCUGUUUGAAGGAUGGAAAUUCAUCUUUUACCAUAAGAGAGGGGGUAUAGUAUUCCUGUUUGUGGUUUGCAAGAUGCAUACAUGUAUUUUGUAUUUUAAGACCUGUAUUUGAAUGUAUAAAAAUUGCAUGAGCUUCGUCCCUAAAUGCUGUUAAACCUGGUUGCUAUGCGUUUCUUUCUUACAAAAAAAAAAAAGGAACUGCAGUGAAACACUACCUUCGCAACUGUUGCUUUAAUUGGGGACUAAAAUAGAUUUAAGGAAGCUCUCAGGUCACCAUUGUGCUCUAUUGUGGCAAUGAAUAUGAGCAUUUACAUGAACUCGAGAAAACUCCCUCUGCUCUCAGUGUCCUUUAGAGCUUAAAGAUGGCUUGUAACAGAUAAUGCAUUCUGCAAUGACUGUAGUUACAUUAAGUUUAAUUUAUUUUAUUAUAUUCUUUCAGCAUAUA